rnacentral:rRNA from 1 species
GACGAACGCUGGCGGCGUGCCUAAUACAUGCAAGUCGAACGGAAAGGCCCGGCUCUUGCGGCGUGCUCGAGAGUCGCACACGUGUGUAUAACGUGUGUAUCCUCUCCUUGACUUUGGGAUAACAUCAGGAAACUGGGGAUAUUAUCGGGUAUGAGAUCCUGCUUCACAGUGGGGGUUGGAAAGUUUCGGCGGUUGGGGAUGGACUCGCGGCUUAUCAGCUUGUUGGUGGGGUAGUGGCUUAACAAGGCUUCGACGGGUAGCCGGCCUGAGAGGGUGACAGGCCACAUUGGGACUGGGGAACGGCCCAGAGUGCUACGGGAGGCAGGAGUGGGGAACAUUGCACGAUGGGCGGAAGCCUGAUGCAGCAACGCCGCGUGCGGGAGGACGGCCGUCGGGGUGUAAACCGCUUUCGCCUGUGACGAAGCGUGUGUGACGGUAAUGGGUAAAGAAGCACCGGCUAACUACGUG